GGUAUGAUUCUGUUUUUGGGUGCGUCGACUCAGCUUGCUGGGCGACGUUGAACGGGAAGCCGGUGCCGCUGCUGCAAGCAGCCAUUCCGGCGCAGCCCCCGCUGCUGUAAGCCUGACGACUCCGCCUGUUGCCACUGUGCGCAAGCAUGGGAAGGCGCGGAGAAGGAUGAAGGCAAGCCAGAAUACCGGCCCGAAAAAACAGCCAGCA
rnacentral:ncRNA from 2 species